AUACGGAGGGUGCAAGCGUUAUUCGGAAUCACUGGGCGUAAAGCGCGCGCAGGCGGGCUGAUAAGUUGGAUGUGAAAGCCUACGGCUCAACCGUAGAACUGCAUCCAAAACUGUCAGUCUAGAGUCUGGGAGGGGAAGAUGGAAUUAGUUGUGUAGGGGUAAAAUCCGUAGAGAUAACUAGGAAUACCAAAAGCGAAGGCGAUCUUCUGGAACAGUACUGACGCUGAGGCGCGAAAGCGUGGGGAGCAAACAGAAUUAGAUACCCUAGUAGUCC
rnacentral:rRNA from 1 species